GACGAACGUUGGCGGCGUGCCUAAUACAUGCAAGUAGAACGCUGAAGGAGGAGCUUGCUUCUCUGGAUGAGUUGCGAACGGGUGAGUAACGCGUAGGUAACCUGCCUGGUAGCGGGGGAUAACUAUUGGAAACGAUAGCUAAUACCGCAUAAUAGUAGAUGUUGCAUGACAUUUGCUUAAAAGGUGCAAUUGCAUCACUACCAGAUGGACCUGCGUUGUAUUAGCUAGUUGGUGGGGUAACGGCUCACCAAGGCGACGAUACAUAGCCGACCUGAGAGGGUGAUCGGCCACACUGGGACUGAGACACGGCCCAGACUCCUACGGGAGGCAGCAGUAGGGAAUCUUCGGCAAUGGACGGAAGUCUGACCGAGCAACGCCGCGUGAGUGAAGAAGGUUUUCGGAUCGUAAAGCUCUGUUGUAAGAGAAGAACGAGUGUGAGAGUGGAAAGUUCACACUGUGACGGUAUCUUACCAGAAAGGGACGGCUAACUACGUGCCAGCAGCCGCGGUAAUACGUAGGUCCCGAGCGUUGUCCGGAUUUAUUGGGCGUAAAGCGAGCGCAGGCGGUUAGAUAAGUCUGAAGUUAAAGGCUGUGGCUUAACCAUAGUACGCUUUGGAAACUGUUUAACUUGAGUGCAAGAGGGGAGAGUGGAAUUCCAUGUGUAGCGGUGAAAUGCGUAGAUAUAUGGAGGAACACCGGUGGCGAAAGCGGCUCUCUGGCUUGUAACUGACGCUGAGGCUCGAAAGCGUGGGGAGCAAACAGG
rnacentral:rRNA from 1 species